GAGAUGCUUAAUUCGUGGGAUUAAGCGUGAAUGGAUGGUCGUAGUCAAUGUCCUUGACUCUUACGACUCAAAUUUCUUUACCAACUGAGGGUGUUAGCUACUAUAUUGGCUUAACCAGGAUGACAACAAAUUUCGGAUUUGUGGUCAUUAUAGUAGCUCAACCCGCAGUGGUUCUCUUGACUCUAGUUUCUAUUCUAUAGGAUAGGAUGAAGGGUUUUACUAUGAGGUUCGUGGUAGAGCUCAUGCUUGGCUUAAACACUAAUACUUGGUGUAUGCAAGCCGUAUAUAAUUGAGAUCGAUGGGAUGUUUAGUUGUGCGACUCCACCCCAGACCCACAACCCAACGAGGAACAGGGAGUAGGGAGGAAGCACACAUCUUAAAUCUUUUUGAUCUCAAUUAUAUACCACCCUUAUGCAUAUACUCAGUUAUAGUAGUCAGUCCCAUGAGUUCUAUCCUCUUGAUUCACGAACCUGAUUGUGAGGUGUGAAGGGUCUUUCUGGGGGAUCUACGGAGUAGGUUUUGGGUGGUUAUCGUUUUCUGGAACACCUGCAGUGUCUUUCGCUUCGGGUUCUAUCUUUACCUAAGGAGAGGUUGGUUAACAGUGCGCGAUACCCUUCUCUUGGGUAUUUCAGAAGGUUUUAGAUAAGAGGGACGACCGACGAAUUGCAUUAGGUUUUAUUAUUAUUUAGUUAGGAAGAACUUUUAAUUACCGAAAUGGCUAUGGUGAAAGUUCUUUUUACACAACACUAGGGAUUGCGCGAUACCCUUCUCUUGGGUAUUUCAGAAGGUUUUAGAUAAGAGGGACGACCGAC
rnacentral:lncRNA from 1 species